UACGUAGGGUGCAAGCGUUAAUCGGAAUUACUGGGCGUAAAGCGCACGUAGGCGGCUUUGUAAGUUAGAGGUGAAAGCCCGGGGCUCAACUCCGGAAUUGCCUUUAAGACUGCAUCGCUAGAAUUGUGGAGAGGUAAGUGGAAUUCCGAGUGUAGAGGUGAAAUUCGUAAAUAUUCGGAAGAACACCAGUGGCGAAGGCGACUUACUGGACACAUAUUGACGCUGAGGUGCGAAAGCGUGGGGAGCAAACAGG
rnacentral:rRNA from 1 species